CCUACGGGGGGCUGCAGUGAGGAAUAUUGGUCAAUGGACGAGAGUCUGAACCAGCCAAGUAGCGUGAAGGAUGACUGCCCUAUGGGUUGUAAACUUCUUUUAUAAAGGAAUAAAACGAGGCACGUGUGCCCUUUUGCAUGUACUUUAUGAAUAAGGAUCGGCUAACUCCGUGCCAGCAGCCGCGGUAAUACGGAGGAUCCGAGCGUUAUCCGGAUUUAUUGGGUUUAAAGGGAGCGUAGAUGGGUUGUUAAGUCAGUUGUGAAAGUUUGCGGCUCAACCGUAAAAUUGCAAUUGAUACUGGCAGUCUUGAGUACAGUUGAGGUAGGCGGAAUUCGUGGUGUAGCGGUGAAAUGCUUAGAUAUCACGAAGAACCCCGAUUGCGAAGGCAGCUUACUAAACUGUGACUGACAUUGAUGCUCGAAAGUGUGGGUAUCAAACAGGAUUAGAUACCCGGGUAGUC
rnacentral:rRNA from 1 species